rnacentral:lncRNA from 1 species
GGAGAAGUGACACCUGUGGCUGGGCUCCUUCCUCUAGGCUCUCCCCUCCGACUCCUCCCUGUGAAAUAAGAGAGUGGGGCUACAGGCAGCACAGGGUGGCCUGGACUCAGCCCCGCUGUGGUUUCUGUGCAGUGCAUGAAGAGUAAGGUGAACCCCAGAUGCCCACUCUAGGGCAGGGAGUGGGGACAGAAGACCCUGGCUGUAUCUGCUGAGUCAGCCAGCAGCCCACGACCGUGAAUGACUGUGUGGGAGAGGGUGUGCGUGUGCAAGCUGGUGAGCGCAUGUGUGAGUGUGUGCGAGCGGGUGCCUGCCUAUGCGUGGGUGAGGGUGUCUGCGUGUGCAAGUGUGCACCUGUGCAUGAGACUCUGUGUGAGUGUGUGUGGGGUUGUGGAAUGGUGCUGAGUGUGAGGUUAGGAAGAAAAAGAGACCUUCACAGACACAGCCAAAGAGAUACUGAGACCAAAAGAAACAUUUGGAGAGAGACUGACCCUGGAGAGAGGCCAGAGGCCGGGAAGCCAGAAUGAGAUGUGUAGAGCAGGAGAGAAGAGAAAGAAACCAAGAACGCUAAGGCUGGGAGACUGUGGUCCUGGAGCUGUUGGUGUGUAUCUCUGCUAUUACUUGGGAAGAGAAGACUUCAGAACAAAGCCAACACAAAGGAAAACCGAGGCAAGGUGCAGACAGAUUGCUGACAACAUCAUCUGAGCCCCUGGUGUGGCUGGGCCUGAAGCAACAUCCACCUCUGUUCUUUCCAGUUACAAGAGGCAACAAAUCCCCAUUUCUGCCUAAACCUUAGGUUGGGUUUCUGUCUUUUGCAAUAAAAAGUAUUGUUUAAUGGUAUCUGAAGCCUGUCUUUCCAAUUCACUAAUGAAAGCUUUCUUCCUUCCCAGGGAAAUGUCUGGGGGAAAGACUGGCAUUAGGUUGAAAGAAAUGGUGAGACUUCCUGCUGGCUGGUCCCAAUUCCCUCACUCCUGGAGAUAUCUUUAAGAAUUACAGUGCCGGCCGGGCGCAGUGGCUCACGCCUGUAAUCCCAGCACUUUGGGAGGCCGAGGUAGGCGGAUCACGAGGUCAGGAGAGCGAGACCAUCUUGGCUAACACAGUGAAACCCCGUCUCUGCUAAAAAUACAAAAAGUUAGCCAGGUGAGGUGGUAGGCGCCUGUAGUCCCAGCUACUCAGGA